rnacentral:rRNA from 1 species
CAGCCGCCGCGGGAAUACGUAGGUGGCAAGCGUUGUCCGGAAUUAUUGGGCGUAAAGGGCUCGCAGGCGGUUUCUUAAGUCUGAUGCGAAAGCCCCCGGCUCAACCGGGGAGGGUCAUUGGAAACUGGGAAACUUGAGUGCAGAAGAGGAGAGUGGAAUUCCACGUGUAGCGGUGAAAUGCGUAGAGAUGUGGAGGAGCGCCAGUGGCGAAGGCGACUCUCUGGUCCGUAACUGACGCUGAGGAGCGAAAGCGUGGGGAGCGAACAGGAUUAGAUACCCCCGUAGUCCCUGUCUCUUAUAC